ensembl:lncRNA
AAAUAAAUAAAUAAAUAAAGGAAACUAAGUCCACUACUCCUCCUACAUCUGUAGAUAUGCUUGUGGACGUGUCUACGUUACACGUGGUUUCACAUCUGCAGUAUUCAUCUCCUAAGCCUAACAGACCAUGAAGCCUAUUAACAGAGCGCUGAGUUUAAGACGAUGAAUUUUGCUGGGAUGUAGUACGAUGUAGCUCGUAUUUCACGAGCAGGCUGGCAUGCAUAUUGGUCCUCAACUGGCUCUUGUCCUGCAAAUUCAGUGAUGGAAGUACCCACACUUACCCCUACAGCAUGAAGUUUCCAUGGAAAGAAAUAGGAGGCAUUACUUUCAGAGUGACCUACGUACUGGAAGAAAAGGUCAAGGAAAAAAGAAUGAACAGGCAGGCAGCAUUAAAAAUUCUAAAUCAACUGUGGUACAAAAUUAGGAUGAAUAAGGUAAAAGAAGAAGCCAAUGUAAUGAACACAGAAGAGUUUAUAGAAGAUGGCAUGGUGUGAGAGAGGAGUCUAUGACAUCCUUCAUUAACUCUCACUGAUGGAAAGGGAGCAUUUAGUCCAAGAUUUUUUACUACACCAGGAGAGGCAAGACAAGGCAAGGCAAGGAUGCCAGGAGGUCAAAAAUAAUUCAGAAUUUGCACCAUACUGUAUUUUUGUUUGGACAAGUGCUUUUUUUAAUAAAAGAAGCUCUGUCAUAAUCCCUGCAAUUAAUAAAAUUAUCUGAAGGUAUUACAUUAAA